GAUGAACGCUAGCGGCAGGCCUAACACAUGCAAGUCGAGGGGUAACGGGAAGUGCUUGCACUUUGCCGACGACCGGCGCACGGGUGCGGAACGCGUAUGGAACCUGCCCCUGUCAGGGGAAUAGCCCAGAGAAAUUUGGAUUAAUGCCCCAUGGUAACAACGGAUUGCAUAAUCUGUUGUUUAAAGAUUUAUCGGACAGGGAUGGCCAUGCGUACCAUUAGCUGGUUGGUGAGGUAACGGCUCACCAAGGCAACGAUGGUUAGGGGCCCUGAGAGGGGGAUCCCCCACACUGGUACUGAGACACGGACCAGACUCCUACGGGAGGCAGCAGUGAGGAAUAUUGGACAAUGGGCGGGAGCCUGAUCCAGCCAUGCCGCGUGCAGGAUGACUGCCCUAUGGGUUGUAAACUGCUUUUAUACGGGAAGAAACCUAUCUACGUGUAGAUAGCUGACGGUACCGUAAGAAUAAGGACCGGCUAACUCCG
rnacentral:rRNA from 1 species